CAAGGAAGGCAGCAGGCGCGCAAAUUACCCAAUCCCGACACGGGGAGGUAGUGACAAUACAUAACGAUACAGGGCCCUUUCGGGUCUUGUAAUUGGAAUGAGUACAAUGUAAAUACCUUAACGAGGAACAAUUGGAGGGCAAGUCUGGUGCCAGCAGCCGCGGUAAUUCCAGCUCCAAUAGCGUAUAUUAAAGUUGUUGCAGUUAAAAAGCUCGUAGUUGAACUUUGGGCUUGGUUGGCCGGUCCGCCUUUUUGGCGAGUACUGGACCCAACCGAGCCUUUCCUUCUGGCUAACCAUUCGCCCUUGUGGUGUUUGGCGAACCAGGACUUUUACUUUGAAAAAAUUAGAGUGUUCAAAGCAGGCCUUUGCUCGAAUAUAUUAGCAUGGAAUAAUAGAAUAGGACGUUAUGGUUCUAUUUUGUUGGUUUCUAGGACCAUCGUAAUGAUUAAUAGGGACGGUCGGGGGCAUCAGUAUUCAGUUGUCAGAGGUGAAAUUCUUAGAUUUACUGAAGACUAACUACUGCGAAAGCAUUUGCCAAGGACGUUUUCAUUAAUCAAGAACGAAAGUUAGGGGAUCGAAGAUGAUCAGAUACCGUCGUAGUCUUAACCAUAAACUAUGCCGACUAGGGAUCGGGUGUUGUUCUUUUUUUGACGCACUCGGCACCUUACGAGAAAUCAAAGUCUUUGGGUUCUG
rnacentral:rRNA from 1 species